GACGGAGGGUGCUAGCGUUGUUCGGAAUCACUGGGCGUAAAGGGCGCGUAGGCGGCCUUGCGAGUCGGUUGGUGAAAGCCCGGGGCUCAACCCCGGAGGUGCGGCCGAGACUGCAGGGCUGGAGGCCGGAAGAGGAGGGUGGAAUACCCAGUGUAGAGGUGAAAUUCGUAGAUAUUGGGUGGAACACCGGUGGCGAAAGCGGCUCUCUGGUCCGGACCUGACGCUGAGGCGCGAAAGCGUGGGGAGCAAACAGG
rnacentral:rRNA from 1 species